rnacentral:rRNA from 1 species
AUUGAACGCUGGCGGAAUGCUUUACACAUGCAAGUCGAACGGCAGCACGGACUUCGGUCUGGUGGCGAGUGGCGAACGGGUGAGUAAUGUAUCGGAACGUGCCCAGUCGUGGGGGAUAACGUAGUGAAAAUUACGCUAAUACCGCAUACGAUCUAUGGAUGAAAGCGGGGGAUCGCAAGACCUCGCGCGAUUGGAGCGGCCGAUAUCAGAUUAGGUAGUUGGUGGGGUAAAGGCCCACCAAGACAACGAUCUGUAGCUGGUCUGAGAGGACGACGAGCCACACUGGAGCGGAGACACGGUACAGACUCCUACGGGAGGCAGCAGUGGGGAAUUUUGGACAAUGGGCGAAAGCCUGAUCCAGCCAUUCCGCGUGCAGGAUGAAGGCCCUCGGGUUGUAAACUGCUUUUGUACAGAACGAAAAGGUUUCUACUAAUACUAGGAGCUCAUGACGGUACUGUAAGAAUAAGCACCGGCUAACUACGUGCCAGCCGCCGCCGUAA